GUGAGCGAAGAAGUACCUCGGUAUGUAAAGCUCUAUCAGCAGGGAAGAAAGUGACAGUACCUGACUAAGAAGCCCCGGCUAACUACGUGCCAGCAGCCGCGGUAAUACGUAGGGGGC
rnacentral:ncRNA from 1 species